rnacentral:rRNA from 1 species
UACGUAGGUGGCAAGCGUUGUCCGGAUUUACUGGGCGUAAAGAGCGCGCAGGCGACUCGGUAAGUCUGCUGUGAAAUCUCCCGGCUUAACUGGGAGGGGUCAGCAGAUACUGUCGAGCUUGAGGCAGGUAGAGGAAGGUGGAAUUCCCGGUGUAGUGGUGAAAUGCGUAGAUAUCGGGAGGAGCACCAGUGGCGAAGGCGGCCUUCUGGGCCUGUCCUGACGCUGAGGCGCGAAAGCGUGGGGAGCGAACCGG